rnacentral:misc_RNA from 1 species
CGUGGGAGCGGGCUUGCUCGCGAUGCCGGCGACACGGUCAUUCAGCCAGACCGUGUAGCUGCCAUCGCGGGCAAGCCCGCUCCCACG